GAAAUGCGAUAAGUAAUGUGAAUUGCAGAAUUCAGUGAAUCAUCGAAUCUUUGAACGCACCUUGCGCCCCUUGGCAUUCCGAGGGGCACGCCUGUUUGAGUGUCGUGAACUCCUCCACUCCUCACCUUUUUCGAAGGGUUGUUGAGCUGGGACUUGGGAGCUUGCGGGUCCCCUGGCCGAUCCGCUCUCCUUGAAUGCAUUAGCGAAGCCCUUUGCGGCCUUGGUGUGAUAGUCAUCUACGCCUUGGCUUAGCGAACCUAAUGGGAGUCGCUUCCAACCGUCUCGCAAGAGACAACACAUACCAACUUGACCUCAAAUCAGGCGGGACUACCCGCUGAACUUAA
rnacentral:misc_RNA from 1 species